UACGUAGGGUGCAAGCGUUAAUCGGAAUUACUGGGCGUAAAGCGUGCGCAGGCGGUUAUGUAAGACAGUUGUGAAAUCCCCGGGCUCAACCCUGGGAACUGCAUCUGUGACUGCAUAGCUAGAGUACGGUAGAGGGGGAUGGAAUUCCGCGUGUAGCAGUGAAAUGCGUAGAUAUGCGGAGGAACACCGAUGGCGAAGGCAAUCCCCUGGGCCUGCACUGACGCUCAUGCACGAAAGCGUGGGGAGCGAAACAACGGAU
rnacentral:rRNA from 1 species